rnacentral:lncRNA from 1 species
CAUGUAAGAUGAGUCUCUUGAAGACAGCAUACCAUUGGAUCUUGGUUCUUUAUACAGCUUGCCAAGCUGUGCCUUUUUUUAACUGGUGUUUAGCAUAUUUACAUUCAAGGUUAAUAUUGAUAUAUGUGGAUUUGAUCCUGUUAUGUUGUUAGUUGUUUAUUAUGCCAACCUGUUUGUUGUAUUCGCUGGAUUUGAAUGUUGGCCUCUAUAGCUAGGUUGGAGGAGU